GAAACGGUGGCUAAUACCGGGURUGCCGAAAGGUGAAAGGUUAACUGCCUGGAGAUGAGCUCGCGUCUGAUUAGCUAGUUGGUAGGGUAAAAGCUUACCAAGGCGACGAUCAGUAGCUGGUCUGAGAGGACGAUCAGCCACACUGGGACUGAGACACGGCCCAGACUCCUACGGGAGGCAGCAGUGGGGAAUUUUCCGCAAUGGGCGAAAGCCUGACGGAGCAAUACCGCGUGAGGGAGGAAGGCUCUUGGGUUGUAAACCUCUUUUCUCAGGGAAGAAUAAUGACGGUACUUGAGGAAUAAGCAUCGGCUAACUCCGUGCCAGCAGCCGCGGUAAUACGGAGGAUGCAAGCGUUAUCCGGAAUGAUUGGGCGUAAAGCGUUCGCAGGUGGCAUUGAAAGUCUGCUGUCAAAGAGUCUGGCUCAACCAGAUACAGGCAGUGGAAACUUCAAAGCUAGAGUGCGGUAGGGGCAGAGGGAAUUCCUGGUGUAGCGGUGAAAUGCGUAGAGUUCAGGAAGAACACCGGUGGCGAAAGCGCUCUGCUAGGCCGCAACUGACACUGAGGGACGAAAGC
rnacentral:rRNA from 2 species